rnacentral:rRNA from 1 species
UGGGGAAUAUUGCACAAUGGAGGGAACUCUGAUGCAGCGACGCCGCGGGAACGAAGAAGGCUUUCGAGUCGUAAAGUUCUUCUAUAUGGGAAGAUAAUGACGGUACCAUAAGAUAAAGACACGGCUAACUACGUGCCAGCAGCCGCGGUAAUACGUAGGGGGCUAGCGUUGUCCGGAAUCACUGGGCGUAAAGGGUUCGCAGGCGGAAAUGCAAGUCAGGUGUAAAAGGCAGUAGCUUAACUACUGUAAGCAUUUGAAACUGCAUAUUUUGGGACGAUUAGAGGUAAGUGGAAUUUUUCGUGUAGCGGUGAAAUGCGUAGAUAUUAAAAAGACUACCGGUGGCGAAGGCGACUUCCUGGGCUCAUUCUGACGCUGAGGAACGAAAGCGUGGGUAGCAAACAGG